UCGAGCGGCAGCGCGGGGGCAACCCUGGCGGCGAGCGGCGAACGGGUGAGUAAUGUAUCGGAACGUACCCAGUCGUGGGGGAUAACUAUCCGAAAGGAUAGCUAAUACCGCAUACGUCCUGAGGGAGAAAGCGGGGGACCGUAAGGCCUCGCGCGAUUGGAGCGGCCGAUAUCGGAUUAGCUAGUUGGUGAGGUAAAGGCUCACCAAGGCGACGAUCCGUAGCUGGUCUGAGAGGACGACCAGCCACACCGGAACUGAGACACGGUCCAGACUCCUACGGGAGGCAGCAGUGGGGAAUUUUGGACAAUGGGGGCAACCCUGAUCCAGCCAUUCCGCGUGAGUGAAGAAGGCCUUCGGGUUGUAAAGCUCUUUCAGCAGGAACGAAACGGUGGUCCUUAAUACGGGCUACUAAUGACGGUACCUGAAGAAGAAGCACCGGCUAACUACGUGCCAGCAGCCGCGGUAAUACGUAGGGUGCGAGCGUUAAUCGGAAUUACUGGGCGUAAAGCGUGCGCAGGCGGUUCUAUAAGACAGAUGUGAAAUCCCCGGGCUUAACCUGGGAACUGCGUUUGUGACUGUAGGACUCGAGUGUGGCAGAGGGGGGUGGAAUUCCACGUGUAGCAGUGAAAUGCGUAGAGAUGUGGAGGAACACCGAUGGCGAAGGCAGCCCCCUGGGUCAACACUGACGCUCAUGCACGAAAGCGUGGGGAGCAAACAGGAUUAGAUACCCUGGUAGUCCACGCCCUAAACGAUGCGAACUA
rnacentral:rRNA from 1 species